UACGUAGGUGACAAGCGUUAUCCGGAAUUACUGGGUUUAAAGGGUGCGUAGGCGGCUUUGUAAGUCAGGAGUGAAAGUUUGCAGCUCAACUGUAAAAUUGCUUUUGAUACUGCGAGGCUAGAAUUAGGAUGAGGUCAGCGGAAUGUGGCAUGUAGCGGUGAAAUGCAUAGAUAUGCCAUAGAACACCAAUUGCGAAGGCAGCUGGCUAGACCUGGAUUGACGCUGAGGCACGAAAGCGUGGGGAGCGAACAGG
rnacentral:rRNA from 1 species